rnacentral:rRNA from 1 species
UACGGGGGGGGCAAGCGUUGUUCGGAAUUACUGGGCGUAAAGGGCUCGUAGGCGGCCAACUAAGUCAGACGUGAAAUCCCUCGGCUUAACCGGGGAACUGCGUCUGAUACUGGACGGCUUGAGAUUGGGAGAGGGAUGCGGAAUUCCAGGUGUAGCGGUGAAAUGCGUAGAUAUCUGGAGGAACACCGGUGGCGAAGGCGGCAUCCUGGACCAACGCUGACGCUGAGGAGCGAAAGCCAGGGGAGCAAACGGG